rnacentral:rRNA from 1 species
UACGUAGGGGGCAAGCGUUGUCCGGAAUCACUGGGCGUAAAGGGCGCGUAGGUGGCGACCCAAGUCAAUGGUGAAAGCUCGAUGCUCAACAUCGAGUCGGCCACUGAUACUGGGUUGCUUGAGCACUGUAGAGGCUAAUGGAAUUCCGGGUGUAGCGGUGGAAUGCGUAGAGAUCCGGAAGAACACCGGUGGCGAAGGCGGUUAGCUGGGCAGUUGCUGACACUGAGGCGCGACAGCGUGGGGAGCAAACAGG